UGACUCGGGGGCUUUUUUGAGGACUGCUUCAACAUUCCGCAACUUUAUUUCACGAGACCCGAAUUGUCAAUAUCCAGCAGAAUCCGGAAGGUAUCAUCUUUAUAUAUCAUAUGCCUGUCCCUGGGCUUCCAGGUGCCUUGCAUACUUGAAGAUUAAAGGACUUGAGAAAGCUAUUAGUUUCACGUCUGCGAAACCCAUAUGGGAAAGAACCAAAGACAGUGAUGAACAUAUGGGAUGGGUUUUUCCUGCUUCAGAGACAGAGGAACCAGGAGCUGAGCCUGACCCUUUGAAUGGGGCAAAAAGUAUAAGGGAGCUUUAUGAGCUUGCAAGUACAAACUAUGCUGGAAUAUACAGUUCCUGUGCUAUGGGG
rnacentral:misc_RNA from 1 species